GCCCCUCUAGCUCAAUUGGUUAGAGCAGCGUCCUUUUAAGUCGUGGGUUGUGGGUUCGAGUCCCACGGGGGGGCACCA
rnacentral:tRNA from 1 species